rnacentral:lncRNA from 1 species
ACCAUAGUCUGUAACUUUCAGCCAGAUGUGGCAUAAUCUUUUGGUCUUUUCCUUUUCCAGUUUCAGUAACCAUCGUAUCAAUUUGAAUUAUAUGUUGUAGAAGCACAAAUAUAGAUAAUAAUCCUAUUCCUACGGCCAUUUUUAUCCUCAAGUCAACAAUCAGUGCACGAAUCGUCAAUCUCCAUAAUAAUUUUAAUAUGCAGCCAAUAGUGUAAACAUCAAAAAAAAUUCAUCUAAAUUCUUCAACAGCUGAAUCCCUCGUAAAUCACAGUUUUUAAAAAAAAACAUGUUCAGAGCAACUCCAAUAGAUUAAUUUUCCCCUUCCCCUUCCCCUUUAUCCCCUUAUAGGGGAAUCCCCUUUCACAACUUUUGGAUUUUGAAGAAGAGUGCUCCAGCAUAUCCCCUUUCCUGUUUUUCUAGACCUAACAUGUAGAACCCACCUGUCAAUGACCAAACCAUCUUCUUCUUCCUCCUUCCUCUCCUCUUCCC